rnacentral:rRNA from 1 species
AUUGAACGCUGGCGGCAGGCUUAACACAUGCAAGUCGAGCGGAUGAAAGUAGCUUGCUACUGGAUUCAGCGGCGGACGGGUGAGUAAUGCUUAGGAAUCUGCCUAUUAGUGGGGGACAACGUUCCGAAAGGAGCGCUAAUACCGCAUACGUCCUACGGGAGAAAGCAGGGGACCUUUGGGCCUUGCGCUAAUAGAUGAGCCUAAGUCGGAUUAGCUAGUUGGUAGGGUAAAGGCCUACCAAGGCGACGAUCUGUAGCGGGUCUGAGAGGAUGAUCCGCCACACUGGGACUGAGACACGGCCCAGACUCCUACGGGAGGCAGCAGUGGGGAAUAUUGGACAAUGGGGGGAACCCUGAUCCAGCCAUGCCGCGUGUGUGAAGAAGGCCUUUUGGUUGUAAAGCACUUUAAGCGAGGAGGAGGCUACCUAGAUUAAUACUUUAGGAUAGUGGACGUUACUCGCAGAAUAAGCGCCGGCUAACUCUGUGCCAGCCGCCGCCGUAAGAC